rnacentral:snoRNA from 19 species
AGGCGUGAUGACGCCGAGGACACCUGAGCGGUGAUGACUCUUCGCUUCGCUGACC